AAAAGACUUCUUACAGACUGAGCAGCUGAAAGGUUUGUCUCCAGAAUGAGUUAUCAUGUGGUUCUUCAGGUUUCCACUAUCAGUGAAAGCUCUACCACACUCAGAGCAGCUAAAAGGUUUUUCUCCUGUGUGAAUUAUCAUGUGUUUCUUCAGAGUUCCACUAUCAGAGAAAGCUUUACCACACUCAGAGCAGCGGAAAGGCUUUUCUCCUGUGUGGGUUAUCAUGUGUUUCUUCAGGUUUCCAUUAUCAGAGAAAGCUUUACCACACUCAGAGCAGCUAAAAGGCUU